rnacentral:rRNA from 1 species
CAGUCGAGCGAUGGAUUGAGAGCUUGCUCUCAAGAAGUUAGCGGCGGACGGGUGAGUAACACGUGGGUAACCUGCCCAUAAGACUGGGAUAACUCCGGGAAACCGGGGCUAAUACCGGAUAACAUUUUGAACUGCAUGGUUCGAAAUUGAAAGGCGGCUUCGGCUGUCACUUAUGGAUGGACCCGCGUCGCAUUAGCUAGUUGGUGAGGUAACGGCUCACCAAGGCAACGAUGCGUAGCCGACCUGAGAGGGUGAUCGGCCACACUGGGACUGAGACACGGCCCAGACUCCUACGGGAGGCAGCAGUAGGGAAUCUUCCGCAAUGGACGAAAGUCUGACGGAGCAACGCCGCGUGAGUGAUGAAGGCUUUCGGGUCGUAAAACUCUGUUGUUAGGGAAGAACAAGUGCUAGUUGAAUAAGCUGGCACCUUGACGGUACCUAACCAGAAAGCCACGGCUAACUACGUGCCAGCAGCCGCGGUAAUACGUAGGUGGCAAGCGUUAUCCGGAAUUAUUGGGCGUAAAGCGCGCGCAGGUGGUUUUCUUAAGUCUGAUGUGAAAGCCCACGGCUCAACCGUGGAGGGUCAUUGGAAACUGGGAGACUUGAGUGCAGAAGAGGAAAGUGGAAUUUCCAUGUGUAGCGGUGAAAUGCGUACAGAUAUGGA